AAGAGUAUUGGAGGGAUUGAGGGG
rnacentral:miRNA from 1 species